GUGGACUCUCAAGCGUGAGGUAAGGGCAAUUCGUGGAUGCCUUGGCAUGUACAGGGGAUGAAGGACGUGGCACGCUGCGAUAAGCUGCGGUGAGGUGUGAGCAACCUUUGACCCGCAGAUUUCCGAAUGGGGAAACCCACCUAUCCGUUUAAUCUCGAACGUUGUCCGCAAGGACGGCGAGCGGGGUUAGGCGGGAACAGGUAUCUCAAAACUGAAUACAUAGGUUUCGAGAAGCGAACCCGGUGAACUGAAACAUCUCAGUAGCC
rnacentral:rRNA from 1 species